rnacentral:lncRNA from 12 species
CAAGAGCUGACUUUGGUGAGGUGCACCACUUUCCAAAUCUCCAGGAGAGGGAAGUUACUGAAUAUUAUGCUGGAACAUAAGCAGUGAGAGUAUUUGGAAAACCUCUGCUGGCUUUUCCCCAAAGUAGCAGUACCACAGCAAGGGGUUAUACCUGGGAAGCUGAGGGCCCAAGCAGUGGACACAAAAAUGGAGCCUGCAGCCAAGGUUUGGUGGUCCCUGG